rnacentral:lncRNA from 1 species
GCCCCUCCCACCCUCCUCGGUCCAUGGCCACCACCCUGCCAUCUGGACCCCCGCACACAGGUACUUCCACAGCACCGGAGUCCACUCAGCCCACAAGCACCGCCCAGGCACCUCUGCCGCGUGGCUAGAAAAGGUUGAUGACGCUCCAUGGGGCUGCACUGUCUUCUAGAAGGUCCUCAGCCCACAUGUGCCAAGAAAGGCCAGGAUCCUCCAGAAACUACCUGUGCCCCAGCCUGGACGUCUGUCUGGCGCAGCAGCUCUUCUCAGUCAGCACAGCCCCAGUCCCUGGUUCCAUGAUGGAAACAGCUCCCUAAUCCAUGUGAGACUGAAGUGUGACUACAUGUGUCUGCAGGAGAGCCUGUGGGUGACCUGUAUGUGCGCACGUGUGAGGGUGUUGCUGGUGGUUGUGGGGAGAGACACAAAAUAACCUGGAAACCCCUGAAUCCCCCACAGGAGCUGAGAUUAGAGGUAACAAUUCUCAAGAGAAACCCUGAGUUCCCAGGCCACGUGCCUGUUUUCAGAAGGAUCUGCUUUUAAGAAGCCUUGGGCGGUUUCAGCUGGUUUCCAUUUGGGACGCUGUCUGGACAGACUCAGAGAAGAGCCCUGUCAGAACUAUUUUCUAUCAGUGACUGGUAUGAGGCUCUAACAGAGAGCAAGCUGUGUUACAAGGCGGGACCUGAGGAUCUCAUCCUGCCGUCCGCUAGCACGUGCACCUGGGUCGACAAUAACACAGUGGGCCUUAGGAGUCCAGCACCCAUUUUCCACAGAGACAGCCCCGUAGCCCAUGGCAACCAAGGAGCCAAUGGGUGGCCAAGAAUCUGGCGCUGCCAUGGCGAUGAGCUCCCUUCCCUGGUAAUAGAAUGGAGUAGAGUGGAUAGGGAAAGACCUGCACCUGUGAGGGGCCCCCCAGAGACCACCUCCCCGCCCCCUUCCCAGGCAAAUGGGAAAGCCCAGCCAUCCUUGAGAUAGACCACAGUGCCUGGCAGCAGAGGGUGGGGGGCUUCCCUGAGUGUGCCUGGAUUCUUGAGUGCCUUUCUGCAUGUGAGGGCAGUUCUAUGUACUGUGAGCUGGUGUGUGUCUAGGUAUAGACCUGCUAGCAAGUAGAUUAUUCAGUGUCUGAAAGAGACUGAGUAGCACUUGUGAGUGAGAAGCAGGUGUCAGUUAUUCUCCAGAUACAGGAGGUGGACGUGCACAGAUAUGCAGGCAUGUGUCUUUGUGAGCCCAAGAAUUCUUGUGUGUAGAAUAUACGGGUGCAUGUCCACAUGACCACUGGUGUGCUCUUGGUUCAGAAUAACUGUCUUCACGGAUCCAUGCUUUGAGAGUGUGAACCGACCAGCAGGAGCGUCUUUGGCCCAAGGCAGGGACGUCCUGUGGGUGCAUGCGUGCAGAUGUAUGAGCGUGUGCGCGCACCCUGCACAGGCGUGUGACUGGGGUUCU